CGCCAGACUCCUACGGGAGGCAGCAGUGAGGAAUAUUGGUCAAUGGUCGGGAGACUGAACCAGCCAAGCCGCGUGAGGGAGGAAGGUACAGAGUAUCGUAAACCUCUUUUGUCAGGGAACAAAGACUGGGACGCGUCCCCGGAUGAGUGUACCUGAAGAAAAAGCAUCGGCUAACUCCGUGCCAGCAGCCGCGGUAAUACGGAGGAUGCGAGCGUUAUCCGGAUUUAUUGGGUUUAAAGGGUGCGUAGGCGGACUGUUAGGUCAGGGGAAAAAGCCCGGGGCACAACCCGGGCGAGCCGUUGAAACUGGCAGUCUCGAGUUGGAGAGAAGUAUGCGGAAUGCGCGGUGUAGCGGUGAAAUGCAUAGAUAUCGCGCAGAACUCCGAUUGCGAAGGCAGCAUGCCGGCUCCACACUGACGCUGAGGCACGAAAGCGUGGGUAUCGAACAGGAUUAGAUACCCGUGUA
rnacentral:rRNA from 1 species